rnacentral:rRNA from 1 species
GGGCUGCAGUAGGGAAUCUUCGGCAAUGGGCGAAAGCCUGACCGAGCAAUGCCGCGUGAGGGAUGAAGGCCUUCGGGUUGUAAACCUCUGUCAUCGGGGAAGAAAGUUGUCCGCAGGAAAUGGUGGGCAGUUGACGGUACCCGAGGAGGAAGUCACGGCUAAUUACGUGCCAGCAGCCGCGGUAAUACGUAAGUGGCAAGCGUUGUCCGGAAUCACUGGGUGUAAAGCGCAUGUAGGCGGUUCUGUAAGUCUGGGGUGAAAUCCACGGGCCUAACCCGUGAACGGCCCUGGAAACUGCAGGACUUGAGGUUCAGAGGGGAAAGUGGAAUUUCGGGUGUAGCGGUGAAAUGCGUAGAUAUCCGAGAGAACACCAAUGGCGAAGGCAGCUUUCUGGCUGGAUCCUGACGCUGAGAUGCGAAAGCUAGGGUAGCGAACGGGAUUAGAUACCCCAGUAGUC